GAGGGAACUGGGGGUAUCAUUUUAGGGGUUUGGUGGGGCUGUGCUGGCAAAGCUCAUUUUUGGAGGUUCUCUCUUAGGCUUGUGUAGGGUUGUUUUUAGUUAGAUAUAUUGUAUGGGUUUAAUGAUCAAUUGGAUCCCAAGUCCUCUGUAUCAUCAGAAAUUCCUGCCUGUCCUGGUCUGCUGUGGUGCAUUCUCCUGUCUUCCUAGCAGAGAUGAAGCAACUGAUUCUCACGUCAAGUAACUGCCCAAGUCACACAAUUACUAAAAGAGCAAAC